UACGUAGGGGGCAAGCGUUGUCCGGAGUUACUGGGCGUAAAGCGCACGCAGGCGGUUGGCCGCGUGGGUGGUGACAGUCCUCGGCUUAACUGAGGAAGCGCUGCCCAAACGGGUCAACUUGAGGGCCAGAGAGGGACACGGAACUCCGGGAGGAGCGGUGAAAUGCGUAGAGAUCCGGAAGAACACCGAAGGCGAAGGCAGUGUCCUGGCUGGUUCCUGACGCUCAGGUGCGAAAGCUAGGGGAGCAAACAGG
rnacentral:rRNA from 1 species